rnacentral:rRNA from 1 species
UGGGGAAUAUUGCACAAUGGGCGCAAGCCUGAUGCAGCUAUGCCGCGUGUAUGAAGAAGGCCUUCGGGUUGUAAAGUACUUUCAGCGGGGAGGAAGGCGAUAAGGUUAAUAACCUUGUCGAUUGACGUUACCCGCAGAAGAAGCACCGGCUAACUCCGUGCCAGCAGCCGCGGUAAUACGGAGGGUGCAAGCGUUAAUCGGAAUUACUGGGCGUAAAGCGCACGCAGGCGGUCUGUCAAGUCGGAUGUGAAAUCCCCGGGCUCAACCUGGGAACUGCGUUCGAAACUGGCAGGCUAGAGUCUUGUAGAGGGGGGUAGAAUUCCAGGUGUAGCGGUGAAAUGCGUAGAGAUCUGGAGGAAUACCGGUGGCGAAGGCGGCCCCCUGGACAAAGACUGACGCUCAGGUGCGAAAGCGUGGGGAGCAAACA